CAUCUCCUAUGCUGACCCACGCCACUCACCUACUGUUUCCUAACUGUCCAAUGCCACAAACUGUAACAUUAAGCUGACACAAUCUUGCUGCACGGUUACUUAUCUGCAUGCAAUCACUAUUGCCAGCUGUUAUGAGUAAACAUUAUAUUGGGACACCAAUAUAUUUCUGAUUUCUGAUUCACGGGCAGUGUAUUUGCUACUGAAGAAAAGGAGAACACAUAGUAAUUGUUCUUGGAUUGAGAUUUAGAGUAAGGUUUCUAUUGAUCUUUUUCAGAUAAGGCCUCUUCAUUUUCAACUGUGAAGGAUCUACAUGGACUUGGUCUGGAUAGCCUUUCCUGUUUUGAUGAGCCAGUCGGGUCUAGAGGAAAAACCCUAUAUGAGCCCCAGGAUUUUAUGUGGUAUGUAAACGUUCGAAAAACGCCGAAGAGCCCCGUAUAAGAGCCCCAGUGUGAUAGGCUGGUUGCUGUCAUGUGACACACGCCACCACAAGAAAGCGGAAACGCAUCGUAGAGCGAGAGCUGGCCGUGUGGGGUAAGAUCCUUGCUCCUGAUAUCCCGAUGUAUGGGUUGCACUUCAUUAUAUGACUCCAACAGAACACUCACAGAAAGGAGAGUAGUAUCAAACUACAAGACAGCCAGCAUGUAAGCAAGGCCUUGUUUGUCCUUGUUUGGCUACUCAUUUGUCUACUUCCUGAAGAGGCUGAAGCAUGCUGGCCUCCUUGCUUCCAUUAACAGCUGUGUUAUGGAGUGCAUCCUCACAUCAUGGUCUACUGCAGCGGUGGAUACAGAGGACAAUUGGCAGGUUGUCAGCUGUUUGGUUAUCCCCAAAGCAGAAAGACAUGCCAGGAAGGAGCAAGGCAAAGCCCGGGGAUUUUUCUGCAGCUGUUCCUGCCCGUUAUAGAAGGACUGCUCCUGAGAAUAGAUGGGUGUCUACAUCGUUUUGCAAAAUGGAUCUUCUACACAUGAUGUUUGUCAAGCACUGCUCAUUGACUGGCCAGGGGUCCUCUGUAUUGUGACCACUGGUCAAAGGCGCCACAUGACUGUCUCAAAGUCCUCUACAUCAUUCCGGUGACGGGACUUCUGGCCUAGUCUGACAGGAUGGGUCUUGUGUUACUGUGACCAGACGGCUCAACAAUGCAUCAUUCUCAUCCAUGCCCUCAUCGCCUCAAGACUGGAGUACAGCAUUCUCUAUGGUCUUGAAAAAUAUUACUGUCUUU